UUGAUCAUGGCUCAGGAUGAACGCUAGCUACAGGCUUAACACAUGCAAGUCGAGGGGCAGCGGGAUUGAAGCUUGCUUCAAUUGCCGGCGACCGGCGCACGGGUGAGUAACGCGUAUCCAACCUUCCGUACACUCAGGGAUAGCCUUUCGAAAGAAAGAUUAAUACCUGAUGGUAUGAUGAGAUUGCAUGAUAGCAUCAUUAAAGAUUUAUCGGUGUACGAUGGGGAUGCGUUCCAUUAGGUAGUAGGCGGGGUAACGGCCCACCUAGCCAACGAUGGAUAGGGGUUCUGAGAGGAAGGUCCCCCACAUUGGAACUGAGACA
rnacentral:rRNA from 1 species